rnacentral:rRNA from 1 species
AAUCAACGCUGGCGGCGUGCCUAACACAUGCAAGUCGAGCGAGAAAGGGGCUUCGGCCCUGAGUAAAGCGGCGCACGGGUGAGUAACACGUGGGUAAUCUGCCCUCGAGUGGGGAAUAACACCGGGAAACCGGUGCUAAUACCGCAUACGAUCACGAUGUUCUCGGAUGUUGUGAUGAAAGGAGCAAUUCGCUCUUGGAGGAGCCCGCGGCUGAUUAGCUAGUUGGUGAGGUAAUGGCUCACCAAGGCAACGAUCAGUAGCCGGUCUGAGAGGACGGUCGGCCGCACUGGAACUGAGGCACGGUCCAGACUCCUACGGGAGGCAGCAGUGGGGAAUUUUUCGCAAUGGGGGCAACCCUGACGAAGCAACGCCGCGUGGAUGAUGAAGUCUCUUGGGACGUAAAAUCCUUUCGACAGGGAAGAAACCGCAAGGUUGACGGUACCUGUAGAAGAAGCCCCGGCUAACUCCGUGCCAGCAGCCGCGGUAA